rnacentral:sRNA from 1 species
GCCAUAUCGCUGUUCGCAGGGGACGCCUUAGCGCCCCCGCGGAGCGGCCUCAGGUGUUAUUGCAGCCCUUGGCGAUGGAGUCCUCGUUGGAGGUGUACGGCCGCGAGGGUUCCAGGUUCCACUCGGGCUUGUUGCGGGCGACGUUGAAGUGGCAGGCCAGUUGUCGGCGCAUGCUGCCGAUAUUGCUGUCGCGGUUGUCCGGGUUGUCCUUCCAUUCGCUGUCCAGGUAGUGGUCGACCACCAGCUCGUUGGGACGUCAGCGGGACGUGGCGGCGCCAGUCUGCAACCGGGCGCUGCGAUGCACCGUGGUCCGGCAUCCACAGGCUACGCCGCUGCCAGGCAACCGUUCCUGGCCGCGCCUGUUGGCGGCGGCGUCGCCCUGCAAGCGCCAGGUAUCGGGCUCCGCCGUCAGUCCAUGUCGCCGCCAUGGUGCGCGGACUGCUCCAGGAGGCUGCCCUUCGCCGUCCUGCCCCUCGCUUCCGGCGACAGCCGGGUUGCCUG